AAUAUCCUUUGCUUAAUUGAAAAUUCUCCUCUUAUUCGUUCACAACCCCCAAACAACCAAAGACAUAGAAGCCAAAUUUUCAAACUAGGGGUUUCAUAUUUCAAUUCUCCAAACUUGGAAAUUUCAGUAAAUUAAAUUUUGGUCAGUAAUCCUGAGAAUUCCAAGGGCAAGAAUUAACGACGAGCUUUAAUUCCGUUAAAGCUAGCCAAAAAUGCAAUUGUUCGUCAGAAAACCCUCACCGUCGUACCCAAUUUUCAUCCUAAUCGUUAUUUUAGCCACCCAUUUCCUAUCCACCGCCCGAUCAAGCCCCAAUUUCCUCAAAUUACCCUCCGACCAAGAAGAAGGUGGAAAUCUCUGCUCUGCAAAUUUGAAACCCGAUUUCAGCCCCAUAAAGUGCUUCCGACUGGAUCCGGUAUGCGGCGCC
rnacentral:lncRNA from 1 species